rnacentral:rRNA from 1 species
AUUGAACGCUGGCGGCAGGCUUAACACAUGCAAGUCGAGCGGGGUGAUGGUGCUUGCACUAUCACUUAGCGGCGGACGGGUGAGUAAUGCUUAGGAAUCUGCCUAUUAGUGGGGGACAACAUCUCGAAAGGGAUGCUAAUACCGCAUACGUCCUACGGGAGAAAGCAGGGGAUCACUUGUGACCUUGCGCUAAUAGAUGAGCCUAAGUCGGAUUAGCUAGUUGGUGGGGUAAAGGCCUACCAAGGCGACGAUCUGUAGCGGGUCUGAGAGGAUGAUCCGCCACACUGGGACUGAGACACGGCCCAGACUCCUACGGGAGGCAGCAGUGGGGAAUAUUGGACAAUGGGGGGAACCCUGAUCCAGCCAUGCCGCGUGUGUGAAGAAGGCCUUAUGGUUGUAAAGCACUUUAAGCGGGGAGGAGGCUCUUUUGGUUAAUACCCAGAAUGAGUGGACGUUACUCGCAGAAUAAGCACCGGCUAACUCUGUGCCAGCCGCCGCCGUAAAAC